rnacentral:rRNA from 1 species
UGGGGGAAUAUUGGGCAAUGGAGGAAACUCUGACCCAGCAACGCCGCGUGGAGGAAGAAGGUUUUCGGAUCGUAAACUCCUGUCCUUGGAGACGAGUAGAAGACGGUAUCCAAGGAGGAAGCCCCGGCUAACUACGUGCCAGCAGCCGCGGUAAUACGUAGGGGGCGAGCGUUGUCCGGAAUGAUUGGGCGUAAAGGGCGCGUAGGCGGCCUGAUAAGUCUGGAGUGAAAGUCCUGCUUUCAAGGUGGGAAUUGCUUUGGAUACUGUUGGGCUGGAGUGCAGGAGAGGAAAGCGGAAUUACCGGUGUAGCGGUGAAAUGCGUAGAGAUCGGUAGGAACACCAGUGGCGAAGGCGGCUUUCUGGACUGUAACUGACGCUGAGGCGCGAAAGCGUGGGGAGCAAACAGGAUUAGAUACCCUGGUAGU